AGGUUAUGGAAAGGAGGCUGUCUUGAUACCAAGCUUCAGGAUCCACCCACAGGAAAAGGCACAGGACAGAUGGACUUUCCUGAGCCACAGGAGUUUGCAACCCUGGUGAUGACCUGAGAUCUUGUUUUCCACGGGUGCUGUUACACUGCUAUUGGAAGAACACCAGGAGAGGCUCAGCUUCUUGACAGACUGUCAGCGUAAGGCUUUCUCCUGGGCAUGAGACAGUGGCCAAGAUACAUACAGAGGCACAGUGGAAAUGCAGUAGAAAAUGGCUGCGGAUUUAAAACCAGAAGUUAAGAAGAGCGAACUCGAAUGUAGAGCAAGAGAGCUUCAGGCUGGACUGGCUUCCAGCAGAAGUGGGACUGGAAACCUUGGAUUCUGUUGCCUCUUCUCUGUGACGUGGGAAAACAUGUCAGUAUCUGAACUUGAACUUGGUAAUUACUGCUAAUUUCCCAACCUUUUCCAAGCCACGUAACUCCCCUGAGGCUUAGUUUUCUCAUCUGUGAAUUGAGAGAUGGUAUGUUUUUCAUCAUGAGGUUGCUAUAAAGAGAUAAUGUGUGUGGAAACACCAAGCACGGUCCCUGGCAUACAGUAGGUGCUCAAUAAAUAUGAACUGGAGUACACAUGCACUCUGCUCCCUCUUGCCCCCUCAUAGUGCCUGGUCUGGCUCUGGGCUCCCUGGGAUAUGAUAGGUUACCAAAGCGGGCACUAAGGCAUGUCUACCUGUGGUACCUUAUUACCUAGGUUUCCCAUGCUACCUGCUUCAUUCUAGUCACAGAUUUCAGGCUCCAUUCGAACAGAACCUCACUUCUGCUAGCUGUCAUGCUCAAAAAGGGACUGAUGACCACUCAAGCAUGAUAUGAUAGUGAUUUAUGAAUGUCAUUCCUCCAGACAGAAUUUGGAUUAUUACAGGUUUUGCUUUUAUUUUAUUUGGCACUAAAAAGGCAUUGAGAGCCAAAGGAAAGUCUCUUUAAUGGUGGGAUUUAGGCGCUAUAGCGCAUUUCUUUAUGGAAGGGAGAAAGAUUUUCAUCCUGAAACCCUCUAUGUCAUACCCCAUAGGUCGAUGCUGAGUCUCUCUACUCAUACUGAUCUCUUUUUGCACUGGGUUGAAAUAGUGUCCUCCCCAAAUUCAUGCUGGAACCUGUAAAUGUGACCUUAUUUGGAAAUAGGGCUGCUGCAGAUAUAAGCAAGUUAAGAUGAGAUCAUAUUGGAUUAGGGUGAACCUUAACUUCAAUAUGACUGAUAUCCUUAUAAGAAGGACAUUAGGCCACAGACGUAGGCUUAGAAGGAAUCAGGCUAUUUGGAGACAGCAGCAGCACUAGGAGUGAAGCAUCUAUAAGCCAAGGAAUGACAAAGUUUGCUGGCAACCACUAGAAGCUGGAGGAGGCAAGGGGGGAUUCUCCCCUAGAGCCUUCAGAGGAGGCAUGGCCUGGGCAACACCUUGAGUUUGAACUUCUAGCCUUUAGGAUUUGGAGAGAAUACACUUCUGCUAUUUUAAGACACCUAGUUUGUGGUCUUUUUUUUUUUUUUUG